CGGUCGGCAGACACCGAGGCGUCGCUGCCCCCAUUGGGGGUGCUAAACCUGCCA
rfam:Thalassobius mediterraneus strain CECT 8383 genome assembly, contig: 0012